CAUGCGAGUCAUUGUAGCAAUACAAGGCAGACGGCUCAGUAACGCGUAGUCAAUCUACCCUGUUGACGGGGAUAACCUCGGGAAACUGAGAAUAAUACCCGAUAGAACAUUAUGCCUGGAAUGGUUUAUGUUUCAAAUGAUUUAUCGCAAUAGGAUGGGACUGCGGCCUAUCAGUUUGUUGGUGAGGUAAUGGCCCACCAAGACUAUUACAGGUACGGGCUCUGAGAGGAGUGGCCCGGAGAUGGGUACUGAGACACGGACCCAGGCCCUAUGGGGCGCAGCAGGCGAGAAAACUUUGCAAUGUGCGAAAGCACGACAAGGUUAAUCCGAGUGGUUUCUGCUAAAGAAACCUUUUGUCAGUCCUAGAAACACUGAUGAAUAAGGGGUGGGCAAGUUCUGGUGUCAGCCGCCGCGGUAAAACCAGCACCUCAAGUGGUCAGGAUGAUUAUUGGGCCUAAAGCAUCCGUAGCUUGUUUUGUAAGUUUUCGGUUAAAUCCAUACGCUUAACGUAUGGGCUGCCGGGAAUACUGCAUAACUAGGAAGUGGGAGAGGUAGACGGUACUCGGUAGGAAGGGGUAAAAUCCUUUGAUCUAUUGAUGACCACCUGUGGCGAAGGCGGUCUACCAGAACACGUUCGACGGUGAGGGAUGAAAGCUGGGGGAGCAAACCGGAUUAGAUACCCGGGUAGUCCCAGCUGUAAACUAUGCAAACUCAGUGAUGCAUUGGCUUGUGGCCAAUGCAGUGCUGCAGGGAAGCCGUUAAGUUUGCCGCCUGGGAAGUACGUACGCAAGUAUGAAACUUAAAGGAAUUGGCGGGGGAGCACCACAAGGGGUGAAGCCUGCGGUUCAAUUGGAGUCAAC
rnacentral:rRNA from 1 species